GUGCUGGUGGCCACAGUGGUGGCUCUUCUGGACAUCUGCUUCAUCUUAUUGGGUGUUCCAGAAUCUCUGCCAGAGAAGAUGAGACCGCUUUCCUGGGGAGCUCAGAUUUCGUGGAGACAAGCAGAUCCUUUUGCGUUAUUCCAUAUAAGAACUGAUCAUCUGCUGGGAAUCGACUGUCACAUUAUGCAGCAAGCCUGAUUACUCUGCCUGUCGUAACACUACAGAGUGGUGCUUCCCUCUGUGAUAAAUAUGAUGCCGCUUAUACAGGAAAUGUCUUAAAAAAUGCAUAUAUCAAAUACAGAACUUUUGAAGCAAUCUUUUUAUUGAAAAAAGAAAACAAACAACAAUCUUGAGGAAGAAUUGAGCACAGCUUUUAGAACUGUUGAAGUCAAAAUCUGCAUUGAAGUUCCUUGAGGCAUGGAACUGAGUCUGCAGGUGAAAAGCCAGGACUGGUCCAGCUGCUCAACCAUCUCGACAA